GACGAACGCUGGCGGCGUGCUUAACACAUGCAAGUCGAACGGUGAAGCGCCUUCCUUUUUGGUGGGUGUGGAUGAGUGGCGAACGGGUGAGUAACACGUGAGUAACCUGCCCCCUUCUUCUGGAUAACCGCAUGAAAGUGUGGCUAAUACGGGAUAUUCUGGGUCUGUCGCAUGAUGGGUCUGGGAAAGAUAUUGUUUCGGUGGGGGAUGGUCUCGCGGCCUAUCAGCUUGUUGGUGGGGUGAUGGCCUACCAAGGCGGUGACGGGUAGCCGGCCUGAGAGGGUGGACGGUCACACUGGGACUGAGACACGGCCCAGACUCCUACGGGAGGCAGCAGUGGGGAAUAUUGCACAAUGGGCGCAAGCCUGAUGCAGCGACGCCGCGUGAGGGAUGGAGGCCUUCGGGUUGUGAACCUCUUUCGCCAGUGAAGCAGGCCUGCCUCGUUUGUGGGUGGGUUGACGGUAGCUGGAGAAGAAGCGCCGGCUAACUACGUG
rnacentral:rRNA from 1 species